rnacentral:rRNA from 1 species
AUUGAACGCUGGCGGCAUGCCUUACACAUGCAAGUCGAACGGCAGCAUGGAGAGCUUGCUCUCUGAUGGCGAGUGGCGAACGGGUGAGUAAAGCAUCGGAACGUACCGUGUAGUGGGGGAUAACGUAGCGAAAGUUACGCUAAUACCGCAUACGCACUGAGGUGGAAAGCAGGGGAUCGCAAGACCUUGCGCUAUACGAGCGGCCGAUGUCAGAUUAGCUAGUUGGUAGGGUAAAGGCCUACCAAGGCGACGAUCUGUAGCGGGUCUGAGAGGAUGAUCCGCCACACUGGGACUGAGACACGGCCCAGACUCCUACUGGAGGCAGCAGUGGGGAAUUUUGGACAAUGGGGGCAACCCUGAUCCAGCCAUGCCGCGUGAGUGAAGAAGGCCUUCGGGUUGUAAAGCUCUUUCGGCCGGGAAGAAAUCGCACAGGCUAAUACUCUGUGUGGAUGACGGUACCGGCAUAAGAAGCACCGGCUAACUACGUGCCAGCAGCCGCGGUAA